rnacentral:rRNA from 1 species
AAGCUUAACAGCUCUACCUUAAAGGCACCAGAUUCUAUCUGAUCCUGGAAGCUAAACUAGGUCAGAUAUGGUUAGUACUUGAAUGGGAGACCAUCAAGAAAAACUAAAGGCUAUAUUUU